UUUUUUUUUAUUCUUUUUUAUGUUUUUUUUUGUAAAAUGUUUUGAUUUUUUUGUAUUUUUUUGUAAUAUUUAAAAUUUGUUUUUUGAACUGGAUUAGUACCCAGGUAAUCAAAGUUUAUUAAUUCGGGAGUAAAGUUUUGUUUAAACCGAAAAAAUAUUGACUGACUUUAGAUUUUUCUUUGGAAUAUGUGUUUUUGGAGAGCCCUCUUUUUUGGUGAAUUUUAUUGGCACAUGUAUGAUUGUUUAGUUUUUAUGUUAUUUGUGUUGCUUUUAUGUUUUUUUGCAUUUAAAACAGAUAUAUAUUUGGCUUAUAAAUUUAUUUUUCAUGUAUUACUAUUAUUAAUUUUUUUUGGAUUUAUUUUUUAUUUUAUUUUUGAAAUUGGAAAAGAAAGUAAUUUUUUCUUUAUGUGUUAAUGAAUUUAAUAAAUAAAGUGGUACAAACA
rnacentral:rRNA from 1 species